rnacentral:rRNA from 1 species
AUGGAGCGAAAUUUAACGUCAUGGGUCACAAAAAAAGGUUUGAUCGGUGCCAAUGGUGUUGCUGCUAUGAGUAGUCUCUUGAGAGCUAAGUGUAUGGACUUUGAGACAAUAUUUUGCCAAAUGCUGCCUUCUGAAGGAGGGAUGCAGGUUAUCCAUUUUUGCAAGAAAGGUUAUUUCAUUGCUUAUGUCUUUAUGUGGUUGGGCUCUCUCAAGCAACAGGAAAUACACAUUUCGGCAGGAAAUCGCACAGCUUUCAGCAGUGAUGUCCAACAGGCUAUCAUUGAACCCAGCAAAAUAGGAUAG